rnacentral:rRNA from 1 species
GGGCCCGCACAAGCGGUGGAGCAUGUGGUUUAAUUCGAUGAUACGCGAGGAACCUUACCAGGGCUUAAAUGGGAAAAUGACAGGGGCAGAGACGCCCCCUUCUUCGGACAUUUUUCAAGGUGCUGCAUGGUUGUCGUCAGCUCGUGCCGUGAGGUGUCAGGUUAAGUCCUAUAACGAGCGCAACCCCUACCGUUAGUUGCCAGCGUGUAAUGACGGGGACUCUAACGGAACUGCCGGUGCAAACCGUGAGGAAGGUGGGGACGACGUCAAAUCAUCACGGCCCUUACGUCCUGGGCCACACACGUGCUACAAUGGUAGGUACAGAGGGAAGCCACCCCGCGAGGGGGAGCGGA